rnacentral:lncRNA from 1 species
UUUCCACAUGGACCGUGUUCAUGUGACCUUAGAGAGAACUGGGCUGGGAGCCUGAAGAUAUCAGUUUCCAUCCAGGAAACAGAGCAGCCUGGGGCUGUAGAGGAGGGCUGCUGUCGAUUCUGCACUGCGUUCGGACUCUUCAGAGCGUAGAAUUCUGGUGCCCUCCUGCUUCUACAAGUGGGCACUGAGGCUCCUUGGGACAAAACCUCAGACUACCCCAGGAGAACAUGGUGAAAUUACAGUGAAGAUUCUCCACACACAGAGUUCCCCUGCCACGAUGUCACACAGCUUCUGAAGAAGCAGUUAUUCGGUAUAAUCAGCUGAACAAUACAGUGAUGUAGAAUGCAGGAGCACCAUCACCCAAGAUGCUCUGGGGAGCGUGAAAACCACACCAGAUUCUCUGCUAUGACUUUCGCCUCUGACCUGCCACUGCUGUUGGGAAUUUGGAUAUGACAGCAACCAGGGCUCCACAGAGACACUCGGGACCACCGGCCCCUCGUGGGCCGCCUUCUGUCCUGGGCAUGCAGAUUGCUGUUUACCUGUUGCAGAGAUGGUUGGCAUUUUGCCUGACCCUUGGAGCUUG